AGUGAACGCUGGCGGCAGGCUUAACACAUGCAAGUCGAGCGGGCGUAGAAAUAGGUAAGAGGCAGACGGGUGAGUAACGCGUGGGAACGUCCCUUCUGGUACGGCACCACACAGGGAGACGUGUGCUAAUAACGGCCAAGCGCAUACGGGGAAAGAUUUAUCGCCGAAAGAUCGGCCCUCGUCUGAUUAGCUAGUUGGUAGGGUAAUGGCCUACCAGGGCGACGAUCAGUAGCUGGUCUGAGAGGAUGAUCAGCCACAUUGGGACUGAGACACGGCGCAAACUUCUACAGAAGGCAGCAGUGGGGAAUGUUGGACAAUGGGGGCAACCCUGAUCCAGCCAUGCCGCGUGAGUAAUGAAUGCCCUAGGGUUGUAAAGCUCUUUUGUGCGGGAAGAUAAUGACGGUACCGCAAGAAUAAGCCCCGGCUAACUUCGUGCCAGCAGCCGCCGUAAAAC
rnacentral:rRNA from 1 species